UCUAAUCUAAUGGCUUAUAUAUGCAUACCCAUCUUUUGUUUUAUCAUCUUACUUUACUUCUUAUGUGACCUUUGUAUUCUGUAAAUAUUGUAAUCUAUAAAGUGGCAUUCCUAUGUGUUAAGCAGACGGACCAGUGGUGUGGGAAUUUUUUAGUCUGAAGGGUAUUUGGGCCUAGGUUUAGUGACUAAUUUGACUCCGUAUUAUGUUUUUUUUAAUCAAAAUUUGACUCCGUAUUUUUUAAUGAGAGCUAGAACAUAAUGACAACUUAAUUCCAGGCAGGCAAGAG
rnacentral:lncRNA from 1 species